rnacentral:rRNA from 1 species
CCUACGGGUGGCAGCAGUGGGGAAUAUUGCACAAUGGGGGAAACCCUGAUGCAGCGACGCCGCGUGAGUGAAGAAGUAAUUCGUUAUGUAAAGCUCUGUCAGCAGGGAAGAAAAUGACGGUACCUGAGUAAGAGGCCCCGGCUAACCACGUGCCAGCAGCCGCGGUAAUACGUAGGGGGCAAGCGUUAUCCGGAAUUACUGGGUGGAAAGGGAGCGGAGACGGCGAUGCAAGUCUGAGGGGAAAGGCGGGGGGCCAACCUCCGGACUGCUUUGGAAACUGUAUGGCUGGAGUGCAGGAGAGGUAAGUGGAAUUCCUAGUGUAGCGGUGAAAUGCGUAGAUAUUAGGAGGAACACCAGUGGCGAAGGCGGCUUACUGGACUGUAACUGACGUUGAGGCUCGAAAGCGUGGGGAGCAAACAGGAUUAGAUACCCGAGUAGUC